rnacentral:lncRNA from 1 species
GCCUUUGUGUGCCCACAAGGGUGGAAUCAGAGGCAGCUCUCUCUAUCGUGCACGGAUGCCUGAGGAGCGCGGGGUUCGCUGACGCUCCGGGGAACAGAAACAAAGAAAAUAAUCUUCUAGAUGAGUUUUAUCGAUGGAUUGAUGUGAGUGAAGUGACGCAUUUUAUUUUCCAUUUGUUGUGAAUGACAUUGAUAUUAUAAUGUGAGUGAAACGGACAUUUAACUUGUAAAUAUAAAAGUGUAUGGUGAUAUACAUAUACUCUACUAGCGACAGAGUGUUGCUAAAGUGUUUACAGAGUGUAUUUUUGAUGAAAAAGGGUAAAGAAAAGGAUUUAAAGGGGACGUGCUGUACCUGCACCAUUCUGGAAUUUUCUGAGUUUAACGAUCUCCUUGGUCAAGUUUUUUUUUUCCUUGUUGUUCUGUCCUUUUCCAAAUUCGAUUGCUGUCUGUCUGAUGUGACGAGAUGUUCCGGUACCUGCAUUCUGGAUUUGUCCCGGCCUUCCGGUGGUUCUGAGGAGGGUUUGGACUGGCGAGCCUCCCUUGAGUCUGUUCUUGGAUUUUCUGUGGAAACAAAAGACAAGUUUUUCUGACCCUGUGAAUGGUAGGAAAUCGAAUAACCUUUCUUUCUUUUUUUUCCCUCUUUCGGAUUGGAGACGUUUUUUCCUCAUUGACAGAGAAAAGACAUUUAUAUCUCUCUACGGACUAUUUGAAGAACUGUUUUUCUUGAAAGACUGAGCAAUUGAGGGUUUUGAAAUCGAAGGACAUUAUUUUAUUUCAUUGAGAAGUGUUAAUUUUCUGUUGUGGUGACAGCUGUGAUACAUACAUUGGGUUUUUGAUAUUUGAAUACUGAUUGAUCUAAAAAGAAAAAAAUUGACAAAGGUAACAUAAGUGUUCAUAUUCAACCUUUAUUUGGGUGAAUCAACUACUGAGUUAAAGUGAACGAACAAAGAACUUACCUUGUUGAAAAUUGAGGGAAAAGGUUCAUGAAACCUGCUAAAACAAAAGAGUGACAAAAUUUAGAAACAAGAAUUUAAUUUGUGAAAAUAUAUAUAUUUUUUCCUUUCUGUUUUCAUUGAUUCACAUUGAUUCAACUUACCCGUUGAGUGCUGUUAAACCACAAAUACACGUUGUGUGUUCGACCAAACCAUUCGUUGAGUGUUCAGUGUUGUUGUUGCAUCUUUCUCAGCAGCGACUCUAGUCUUCUGAGACGCUGGUCCAUAGAUUGGCAUAUAACAAGUUACUAAUGAAUCUACAAGUUAUUAGCUAGAUAGUAAGCGCUACACGUGUAUCAAGACCACAGUGGGCCAGUAAGCUGAGUAUUGAUAUUCAGCACUCGCAGCCAUUCCUGCCAGAUCAGAUAUUGCUCCAAAGCAAACUGACAUGAAAAAAACGGGAACACUUGUCUUAAAUUAUAAGGAAAUAAUGGAGCAAAGCAAUGGAGGGAUGCAUAAACAAACUGGCAGUAAAUGGAUGUAUCCACUAACACUGUGUGGGAAUUUCACUGGAAAGAACUAAUAAGCAAGGACAUUACAAACAAAGAAAAACAAAGGCCAAGAUCCGCUCAGAUCUCAGAGCUUUCACUGGGAAUGUUCUUCUGAGAACAGGUGCUCAAAGGAAGCUUUAAUCUUCUAUCAAACCUUUGCAAAUCUGACUCGGACUCAAUGGGAGCUGUUAAAAUAAUGUUCCAGUGAUGUAAGUGGUUUAUGCAGUAUGAAAAACGGGGUUGUGUAAAUGCUACCUUAUUUUAUUCUAAUUUGUGAUUUCUGUCACAGUCCACCAGAAUAGAUGCCAUAUUUAAUUUAACACAAAUAAAAACAAGGCUGUGAAGGAUAGACCAGAUUAUUGAGUAGGUUAUACUGUUGGGUACCUUGGUGUCAAUCGUUCGGUUUACAAAAUGCUUAAAUUACAUUAUUCCAGGGAAAAAAAAAAAAAGUAUGAAAUGAUUAAAAUACUAUCUCAUUAAAAUACUAUUUCCUGUCUCUGGGCCAUCAUGCAAUUUUACUUCUUGAAUGUUAGCAUCUUGGCAAAAUUAGCUAAAUUGUCAAUAAACUCUCACUCUUGCUGUUUGUAAUAAUUUUUAAUGCUUUGGCAAAUUAUUGGCAAAUUAUCAUGCUUUUUUUGUAUGGUCUGCUUACACUCCACUGAGGGUUUGGUUUACAGUUGGCCCUUCAGGUUUAGUUGUUUUCUAAAAAUGGUAUGUUUUCACA